GAAAUGCGAUAAGUAGUGUGAAUUGCAGAAUUCAGUGAAUCAUCGAAUCUUUGAACGCACAUUGCGCCCCUUGGUAUUCCAUGGGGCAUGCCUGUUCGAGCGUCAUUUGUACCCUCAAGCUCUGCUUGGUGUUGGGUGUUUGUCCCCGUCUCCGCGCGUGGACUCGCCCCAAAGUGAUUGGCAGCCGGCGUACUGGUCCCGGAGCGCAGCACAUGUCGCGCAAACGAGUGCCUUGGUACGGCGGCGUCCAUAAGCCCCUCUCUCACGCUCUUGACCUCGGAUCAGGUAGAGAUACCCGCUGAACAUAAGC
rnacentral:misc_RNA from 1 species